AAGAAAUUAGUUAAAUCAUAACAUUAGUAUGUCAUACUAAAAUUAUUAAAUUCAUUAAUAUUUCUUU
rnacentral:tRNA from 2 species